GAUGAGUGUGUAAUGACAUUGGUAGAUUUUAAACAUGUACAAAGGACGUUUCGUUUGUUCGUUCUCAUCAUCAAGCUUUAACCAAUAACUGAAUGUUAAACCUGGCUUUAAUUCAGUGCAACUGAGUGGGAAUGUAAUGGUAUUGGUGGAGGCUCAGUGGAUAAGUUGCAAAAUAAUGCAGCCUACAUUAUACAGUUUAAACCAUCAGUGAUAAAUUUGAAAAUGAAAGUAAUGGCCUGUGCGAUGCAAUCUUAAAACCACAUACAUGCAUAAGCAUAUAGAUUUCAUGUGAGAUUUAUAAAAUAAAUUAUAAUUUUGUAAAUUUUGUUUGUAUGAAAACUAUUUUCAUGAACAACCCUUGAUCCAGUAUAGAUUGAGAAGU
rnacentral:lncRNA from 1 species